UCCUACGGGAGGCAGCAGUGGGGAAUAUUGCGCAAUGGGCGAAAGCCUGACGCCAACGCCGCGUGCGGGAUGACGGCCUUCGGGUUGUAAACCGCUUUCAGCAGGGACGAAACUGACGGUACCUGCAGAAGAAGCACCGGCUAACUACGUGCCAGCAGCCGCGGUGAUACGUAGGGUGCGAGCGUUGUCCGGAAUUAUUGGGCGUAAAGAGCUCGUAGGCGGUCUGUCGCGUCGGAAGUGAAAACUCGGGGCUAACCCCGAGCCUGCUUUCGAUACGGGCAGACUUGAGGAAUGUAGGGGAGAACGGAAUUCCUGGUGAGCGGUGGAAUGCGCAGAUAUCAGGAGGAACACCAGUGGCGAAGGCGGACUGACGCUGAGGGCGAAAGCGUGGGGAUUAGAUACCCUGGUAGUCCACGCCGUAAACGCCGCCUGGGGAGUACG
rnacentral:rRNA from 1 species